rnacentral:rRNA from 1 species
GACGAACGCUGGCGGCGUGCUUAACACAUGCAAGUCGAACGGUGAAGCUCCAGCUUGCCGGAGUGGAUCAGUGGCGAACGGGUGAGUAACACGUGAGCAACCUGCCCCUGACUCUGGAAUAAGCGCUGGAAACGGCGUCUAAUACUGGAUACGAGAAGGGUCCGCAUGGGCACUUUCUGGAAAGUUUUUCGGUUGGGGAUGGGCUCGCGGCCUAUCAGCUUGUUGGUGAGGUAAUGGCUCACCAAGGCGACGACGGGUAGCCGGCCUGAGAGGGCGACCGGCCACACUGGGACUGAGACACGGCCCAGACUCCUACGGGAGGCAGCAGUGGGGAAUAUUGCACAAUGGGCGAAAGCCUGAUGCAGCGACGCCGCGUGAGGGAUGACGGCCUUCGGGUUGUAAACCUCUUUCAGCAGGGAAGAAGCGAAAGUGACGGUACCUGCAGAAGAAGCACCGGCUAACUACGUG